UACAGAGGUCUCAAGCGUUGUUCGGAUUCAUUGGGCGUAAAGGGUGCGUAGGCGGCGCGGUAAGUCGGAUGUGAAAUCUCGGGGCUUAACUCCGAAACUGCAUUCGAUACUGCCGUGCUUGAGGACUGGAGAGGAGACUGGAAUUUACGGUGUAGCGGUGAAAUGCGUAGAUAUCGUAAGGAAGACCAGUGGCGAAGGCGGGUCUCUGGACGAGUUC
rnacentral:rRNA from 1 species